UACAGAGGUCCCGAGCGGUGUUCGGAUUCAUUGGGCGUAAAGGGUGCGUAGGCGGCGGGGAAAGUCUGAUGUGAAAUCCUGGGGCUCAACCCUGGAACUGCAUUGGAUACUUCCUUGCUAGAGUACUGGAGAGGAAACUGGAAUUUACGGUGUAGCAGUGAAAUGCGUAGAGAUCGUAAGGAAGACCAGUGGCGAAGGCGAGUUUCUGGACAGUUACUGACGCUGAGGCACGAAGGCCAGGGGAGCAAACGGG
rnacentral:rRNA from 1 species